AUGAUCAAAUCUGUACCCUACGGUAUCCGUACACAGAGCACAAAAGACAACGUGCUGCAAAAACAAGAAGAUGUGACUGCUACUGAAGGAGAGGCAGUAACACUUGGCUGUCAAUAUAACAGCAGUGCAGCUAAUAAUUAUCUCUUCUGGUACAAACAGGAUGGAAACUACAGCCCCAAAUUCAUUUCAUUCAGUGUAAAGGAGAAGACAUAUAACACAUAUCCCACUUUGUUCUGGUACAAACAAGAAGUCAAUGAUUUCCCAAAGUACAUGCUGAAGCGUUACUCAAACACAAAAGAUAAUGCUCCAGAGUUCCAGGAAGAAAGAUUUGAUGCUACAAUCAACCAGACAUCAGUUCCACUGAAGAUCCAGAAGCUUCAGCUGUCUGACUCUGCUGUGUACUACUGUGCUCUGCAGCCCACAGUGACAGGAAACACCAAAACUCUGUACAAAAACCUUUGGAGCAAAGACAACACAAUACUCCACAUCUUCCACUAGAUGGAGACACACUGUUAAAUUUCAAUAUGAUGUUGUCUAGAAUCCCUUUACCUUAGAAGUGUAACCCCACAGUCACACUAGCUACAAGAGACAGAGACAAAGUGACAGGCUACCAUUCAAUUUCAAUGGGAGUGGCCGGUUGCCAGCAACAAGCGACGAGCUCGCCGCUGC